rnacentral:tRNA from 1 species
UUAAUUGAAACCAAAAUAGAGGUUUAUCACUGUUAAUGAUAUUAAUGAGCAUGCUCCAAUUAAA